GAAUCAAAUGUCCCGCUGAUCCGACAGGAGGUGAAGCUCAGGCGGUAAUGGCUGGCCUGUUGCUCACCUCCUGCUGUGCGGCCAGGCUCGCCACAGACCUAUAGGAUCUGCCGCCCGGGGCUGGGGACGCCUGCUCUAGAGCACUAGCCUGCAAACUUUUUAUUUAAUGGCUGCAGCUCCAGCAUCCAUCUUGGAUUAUGAGGUAAUCUUGAGAAUGGAAGCCAAGCCCUUGGAGGAUUCUCACCAUCCAGAAGUCAUACCAGUGGUGAGAACUUGUCUGGAAUUUGUUGAACAGUCUCUACUUACCAAGAAGCCAGAGAAAAGUUUGGCUGACCUCCAAGCAAGCUGCACAAGCUCAUGCUCAUUAAAGGCUCAUAAAGAUGCUAUUAGGGAUUACAAAGGAUCUGGCCAUGGUCCCCAUGGUUCUAGCUGCCACUGGUUUCCCAUAGAGCCCUAGGCUGGAUACAAUCUGUAGUGUCCCUGGAAAAGCACAGGUGGAUUCUGUAUACUUUGUGGUCUGAAUAUUCUUCACCUAAUGACAACAGAUGUGGUAGGUAGAAUAACACUCCCUCCUACCAAAAACAACAACAACAACAGCAACAAAAACCCAUAGAUGUCUACCUUCUAACCUACGGAACCUGGUAAUACAUUAAUUACAGGGUAAAAUGGUAUUAAGAUUGCAGUGGAAAUGAAAGUUGCUAGUCAUUUUACCUUAACAUAGCAAAGUAAUCCCAGAUUAUCUCAGUGGACCCAAUGUAAUUACUAGGAUCCUUAAAAGUGGAAGACAGAAUUGAAAGAGAGAACUAUGCAGUAUCAUUAAAACUUCUUGGUCUGAUGUUACUGACUUUGAAGAUGGAGGAAGGGGGCCAUGAGUGAGCUAAGGAAAGAAGGUGGCCCUAAACAAGCUGGAAAAGGCAAGAAAACAGUUCUUGUCCAAUGGAGUAAAUCCCAUGACAUAAAUCGAUGUGUGAAGUUUCCUUGACAAUCAGCAGAUUGGCAUAAACUUGUUACUUCAUUCUUCUUAGCAAGCACGAGAAUAGUGUUACAAACAGUGUUGGAAAUUUCCUAAUCCGUAUGCUUCAUUUUGAGGCUAUUAUUCACCGCUGAUGUUGUUUCCAGUCCUUGACUGCUCUCUGAAGCUUCACAUUUGAAAAAUUAUUAUAGCUACAGUAGCACAUGGUCAAUCUCAUGUUUGUUUGAUUAAAAUAUUGUAGAGACCAACAUGCAGGAGCUAGCAAAGUAGUAAUCAUCUAUUCUGAGGUCAAGCAGGAUAACUACUCUUCCUAAGAAUAUUUCGUCCCUUGAAAGAAGUUCUGGCAAGGUAGGUGGUUGGCAACAAAUAGUGACCCUUACAUGGUGAUCCUGAAAUCUGUCUCUAAUUUCUGCUCUCCUUUAUUUUAUCAGUGAGACAAUGAUGAAAUCUCAUAUUUCAUAAGAUUUUAAGGAUGUUGCCACUUAAAGGUUUUGUGAAACUAAAUGUAUUCACAACACAGUUUUAGUUUAUGAGUUUGAAUUCACACUCUUGAACAUAAAAUCUAAUCCUAAUGUACAGUCUUUCUACUCCUAAAAUUGGAAGGAGUAUAACAUGUUCCAAAUUACAAAUAACAUACAUUACAAAUUACAUAUAUUACAAACACAAAUAAUUUUUCAAUUUAAAUAUGUCUCAAGAGCAUUUUUUAUGGUUUCCUUAUCUUCUUUCAAUAUAAUGUGCCUUGGUAAUAAAAUAGAGAAGUAUCUACAUAACUAUAAAGGGAAAUCAAUCCAUAUGGCUAUGACAAAAUAGAGAAGUAUCUACAUAACUAUAAAGGGAAAUCAAUCCAUAUGGCUAUGAUAAUAUAGAUUAUUAUCAUAAUAUUUUGACUAUGACAGGUAAUUUCUAAAAAUUAAAAAAGGAUUUUAUUUAAACACAAUAAUUUUUAUAAUUCACAUGUUAAUUUUCAGUAAAUUAUUGUUUCUCAAUGGAUAAUUUGAUCAAUAUCAAU
rnacentral:lncRNA from 1 species